AGAGGUCCUGGUCAGCGGAUUGUGUUACCUUUGGACGCAGCCAGUCCAGCUGUUUCCUCCUGUUUUCAGUCUUUAUGCUAAGCUAAGCUAAUUAGCUGCUGGCCGUAGCUUUAUCUUCAGCAUACAGAUAUGAACGUGCUAUCACUCUUCUUAUCGAACUCUCUACAAAGAAAAGCAAAUAAGCACAUUUUCCAU